rnacentral:rRNA from 1 species
GUGUCAGCCGCCGCGGUAACACGUAGGGGCCAAGCGUUGUCCGGAUUUAUUGGGCGUAAAGAGCUCGUAGGCGGUUGGGUAAGUCGGGUGUGAAAACUCCAGGCUCAACUUGGAGACGCCACCCGAUACUGCUCUGACUUGAGUUCGGUAGGGGAGUGGGGAAUUCCUGGUGUAGCGGUGAAAUGCGCAGAUAUCAGGAGGAACACCGGUGGCGAAGGCGCCACUCUGGGCCGAAACUGACGCUGAGGAGCGAAAGCGUGGGUAGCAAACAGGAUUAGAAACCCCUGUAGUCC